rnacentral:rRNA from 1 species
GACGAACGCUGUCGGCGUGCUUAACACAUGCAAGUCGAACGGAAAGGCCCUGCUUUUGUGGGGUGCUCGAGUGGCGAACGGGUGAGUAACACGUGAGUAACCUGCCCUUGACUUUGGGAUAACUUCAGGAAACUGGGGCUAAUACCGGAUAGGAGCUCCUGCUGCAUGGUGGGGGUUGGAAAGUUUCGGCGGUUGGGGAUGGACUCGCGGCUUAUCAGCUUGUUGGUGGGGUAGUGGCUUACCAAGGCUUUGACGGGUAGCCGGCCUGAGAGGGUGACCGGCCACAUUGGGACUGAGAUACGGCCCAGACUCCUACGGGAGGCAGCAGUGGGGAAUAUUGCACAAUGGGCGGAAGCCUGAUGCAGCAACGCCGCGUGCGGGAUGACGGCCUUCGGGUUGUAAACCGCUUUCGCCUGUGACGAAGCGUGAGUGACGGUAAUGGGUAAAGAAGCACCGGCUAACUACGUGCCAGCAGCCGCGGUGAUACGUAGGGUGCGAGCGUUGUCCGGAUUUAUUGGGCGUAAAGGGCUCGUAGGUGGUUGAUCGCGUCGGAAGUGUAAUCUUGGGGCUUAACCCUGAGCGUGCUUUCGAUACGGGUUGACUUGAGGAAGGUAGGGGAGAAUGGAAUUCCUGGUGGAGCGGUGGAAUGCGCAGAUAUCAGGAGGAACACCAGUGGCGAAGGCGGUUCUCUGGGCCUUUCCUGACGCUGAGGAGCGAAAGCGUGGGGAGCGAACAGGCUUAGAUACCCUGGUAGUCCACGCUGUAAACGGUGGGUACUAGGUGUGGGGUCCAUUCCACGGGUUCCGUGCCGUAGCUAACGCUUUAAGUACCCCGCCUGGGGAGUACGGCCGCAAGGCUAAAACUCAAAGGAAUUGACGGGGCCCCGCACAAGCGGCGGAGCAUGCGGAUUAAUUCGAUGCAACGCGUAGAACCUUACCUGGGUUUGACAUGGAUCGGGAGCGCUCAGAGAUGGGUGUGCCUCUUUUGGGGUCGGUUCACAGGUGGUGCAUGGCUGUCGUCAGCUCGUGUCGUGAGAUGUUGGGUUAAGUCCCGCAACGAGCGCAACCCUUGUUCACUGUUGCCAGCACGUUAUGGUGGGGACUCAGUGGAGACCGCCGGGGUCAACUCGGAGGAAGGUGGGGAUGACGUCAAGUCAUCAUGCCCCUUAUGUCCAGGGCUUCACGCAUGCUACAAUGGCUGGUACAGAGAGUGGCGAGCCUGUGAGGGUGAGCGAAUCUCGGAAAGCCGGUCUCAGUUCGGAUUGGGGUCUGCAACUCGACCUCAUGAAGUCGGAGUCGCUAGUAAUCGCAGAUCAGCAACGCUGCGGUGAAUACGUUCCCGGGGCU